rnacentral:rRNA from 1 species
GAUGAACGCUAGCUACAGGCUUAACACAUGCAAGUCGAGGGGAAACGAUAGAGAAAGCUUGCUUUUUCUAGGCGUCGACCGGCGCACGGGUGAGUAACGCGUAUCCAACCUGCCCAUCACUUGGGGAUAACCUUGCGAAAGUAAGACUAAUACCCAAUGACGUCUCUAGAAGACAUCUGAAGGAGAUUAAAGAUUUAUCGGUGAUGGAUGGGGAUGCGUCUGAUUAGCUUGUUGGCGGGUAACGGCCCACCAAGGCGACGAUCAGUAGGGGUUCUGAGAGGAAGGCCCCCCCANAUUGGAACUGAGACACGGUCCAAAACUCCUACGGGAGGCAGCAGUGAGGAAUAUUGGGUCAAUGGACGAGAGUCUGAACCAGCCAAGUAGCGUGCAGGAUGACGGCCCUAUGGGUUGUAAACUGCUUUAUAAGGGAAUAAAGUGAGUCUCGUGAGACUUUUUGCAUGUACCUUAUGAAUAAGGACCGGCUAAUUCCGUGCCAGCAGCC